GACGAACGCUGGCGGCGUGCCUAAUACAUGCAAGUAGGACGCAGUUGCGAACGGUUGAUUAACGCGUAGGUAACUGCCUAUUAGAGGGGGAUAACUAUUGGAAACGAUAGCUAAUCCCGCAUACUAGUAGAUGGACCUGCGUUGUAUUAGCUAGUAGGUAGGGUAAUGGCCUACCUAGGCAACGAUACAUAGCCGAACUGGGGAGGUGAUCGGCCACACUGGGACUGGGAAACGGCCCAGACUCCUACGGGAGGCAGCAGUAGGGAAACUUCGGCAAUUGGGGGAACCCUGACCGAGCAACGCCGCGUGAGUGAAGAAGGUUUUCGGAUCGUAAAGCUCUGUUGUUAAGGAAGCGGUACUUAACCAGAAAGGGACGGCUAACUACGUGCCAGCCGCCGCGGUAAUAC
rnacentral:rRNA from 1 species